CUGGCACAGAUAUACAUCAAGCUACAGCAGCUCACAGUGUAUCUUUUUCACUUACCUCCUAUCAGAAAGCCUGUGCCUAUAGCUUUAAGCCAGCUGAACUGCUCUGGAAUGGCUUCAAAAUUCAAGAUUUACCCUUCUAAAUCUUGGUUUCCAACCAGUAAAGUAGGAAUGAUUGCAUCCUUCCAGGGGUCUUAUAAGGGAGUGCCUCUGACAGGAGCCGCUGGCAUGUGACUAUUCGGGAAAAGGGCAGCUCAUACCCCAGGAAGAAAAUUCUUAAAUGACUUCGUUGAAUGUUGCAUUAAGUUUGUUGUGCUGCUUUUUUUGGAUUAUGUAAAGUUUAAACUAAUUUUUAACAGAAGGAAAGUUUUAAAUCCCUGUAUCCUUCCCUUGUUGUCUGUGAAGAUAAUCUUCCCACAGAUAAGCCUCAGACAGAUGUUUAUCUUAAGUGCAUUCCCAUGCUGGAUAAUACUGGAAAGUUGGAACAAAGAUGUCAAAUCACCUUAUAAAAAGCCUUUAUGUCAGUGCUCAGUUCUAUGAUACUGAUGCAAGGCCCUUGGUGUGCUGAAGAUCCAAAUUAAAUAAUAAAAAAUGUUGUGAA